ACUCCUACGGGAGGCAGCAGUGGGAAUAUUGCACAAUGGGCGCAAGCCUGAUGCAGCCAUGCCGCGUGUGAGAAGGCAUCGGGCUUGGUUAAGACACUUUCAGUUGUGAGGAAAGGUUAGUCGCUAAUAUCGGCUAGCUGUGACGUUAGCAACAGAAGAAGCACCGGCUAACUCCGUGCCAGCAGCCGCGGUAAUACGGAGGGUGCGAGCGUUAAUCGGAAUUACUGGGCGUAAAGCGCGUGUAGGUGGCUUGUUAAGCCAGAUGUGAAAGCCCCGGGCUCAAGCCUGGGAACUGGCAUUUGGAACUGGCAGGUCUAGAG
rnacentral:rRNA from 1 species